rnacentral:rRNA from 1 species
GUGAGGAAUAUUGCGCAAUGGAGGCAACUCUGACGCAGCCAUGCCGCGUGCAGGAAGAAGGCGCUACGCGUUGUAAACUGCUUUUAACCGGGAAGAAACCCCAGGACGUGUCCUGGGUUGACGGUACCGGAGGAAUAAGCACCGGCUAACUUCGUGCCAGCAGCCGCGGUAAUACGAAGGGUGCAAGCGUUAUCCGGAUUCAUUGGGUUUAAAGGGUGCGUAGGCGGAGCGUUAAGUCAGUGGUGAAAUCCUGCAGCUUAACUGUAGACUUGCCAUUGAUACUGGCGCUCUUGAGUGCGCUUGAAGUGGGCGGAAUGUGCCGUGUAGCGGUGAAAUACUUAGAUAUGGCACAGAACACCAAUUGCGAAGGCAGCUCACUAAGGCGAUACUGACGCUGAGGCACGAAAGCGUGGGGAUCGAACAGGAUUAGAUACCCCAGUAGUCC